rnacentral:RNase_MRP_RNA from 2 species
UUGCUGUUUGAAGAAUCGUUGUCGCAGCUCACGCACAGGGAGCUUCUGGCUCUCUCCAUCCGCUGUGGGGAAAGUCCCCGGAGAUACAGGGCGUGUCCUCGUCCAACCCAACGGAAAGCGACCGGCUCUAAGCACGACGGUACUGGUCGAGGACGGCGAGAAUGAUUUGCAAGGCCAAAGUCUUAUCGGGUGCCUUGCUCCAUCUCAGCCACUCUGUUGCUUGAUUUAACGGUGGACCUCUCGGUGACGGCGUAGGUGCGCAAAGAUACGAGCGUGCCUAUUGCUCGAGUGGUUUGAUCGGAGGACGAGCAGUUCGUUGCUCAUAGACACAGUUAUACGAUUGUCGACCUGGCUUCCAGGUCUUCAACUCAAUGGGGCUCACUCUCAUUCAGCA